rnacentral:rRNA from 1 species
GACGAACGCUGGCGGCGUGCUUAACACAUGCAAGUCGAACGGAAAGGCCUUUUCGGCGGUACUCGAGUGGCGAACGGGUGAGUAACACGUGGGUGAUCUUCCCUGCACUCUGGGAUAAGCCUGGGAAACUGGGUCUAAUACCGGAUAGGACCGCACCUUAGCGUGGGUGGUGGAAAGUUUUUUCGGUGUAGGAUGAGCCCGCGGCCUAUCAGCUUGUUGGUGGGGUAAUGGCCUACCAAGGCGGCGACGGGUAGCCGGACUGAGAGGUUGGGCGGCCACAUUGGGACUGAGAUACGGCCCAGACUCCUACGGGAGGCAGCAGGGGGGAAGAUUGCACAAUGGGCGCAAGCCUGAUGCAGCGACGCCGCGUGGGGGAUGACGGCCUUCGGGUUGUAAACUCCUUUCGCCAGGGACGAAGCGUUUUGUGACGGUACCUGGAGAAGAAGCACCGGCUAACUACGUG